UACGUAGGGACCGAGCGUUGUCCGGAAUCAUUGGGCGUAAAGAGCGUGUAGGCGGCCACUUAAGUCCUGCGUGAAAUCUUGCGGCUCAACCGCAAGCGGUCGUGGGAAACUGGGUGGCUAGAGUGCGGGAGAGGAGAGUGGAAUUCCUGGUGUAGCGGUGGAAUGCGCAGAUAUCAGGAGGAACACCUGCGGUGUAGACGGCUUUCUGGACCAUUGCUGACGCUGAGACACGAAAGCGUGGGUAGCAAACAGG
rnacentral:rRNA from 1 species